GACAAAGGUGGCCUCGUACACCUCCCCAGGCCAGGAUUUUGGGCGGUUCCUUCUAGUGCCUACUGUUCUUAGGCACACAGGGCCCUGCCAAUGACCGGGGGCGCCAGGGGCUACAGGACUGUGCCUCAAAUGCACUGCAGCAGAGACUGGCUGAAAGGAGACUGAGAACAUGUUCAAAAAGAGAGGGUUAAACCCAGAGUGAAUUCGAUUAAAUACGCCCCUUCAGCACACCCACACCAUCAUUAGUAAAACCUCUUCUAGAAUAUUUGACAAUAUUAAAAGCCUUGAAAUUUGUAAACUCUUUAA
rnacentral:lncRNA from 10 species